CUCUAUUUUAACAACAUACUUUUUGUUCUAGAAGGAAAACUGCUAAUUGUUGGCUCUUAAAUUAAUUUAAAAACAUACACACAAACCUUAUUGCUGCCUCCUCGUUUGCCAUUCUGACCCUAUUUUCACAAGUAUUAUCACAGAUAACGGAAAACAUGUAAAACAAAAGGAAAUUAACACCAUGAAAACCAGUAGACUUAAGUUCGUGAGGGAUUACACCUGAAUUAGUUCCAACUAGGUCUGUUAAAUUCUGUUUCUGAUGGACACCUGGGCCUUUCAUCCAGCAACCUUCCUUUCAAAGAGCCCCUACUUCCCUCCCCAUGUGGCCUCGGUUGGCUGUCAGUCAUGGGACUUAAGCUCUCUGCUUGGUGAUUGGUUAAAGGAUAAGCAGGGUGGAUGUGACCUAAACAGAUCCAGCAUCUUCCCUGAGAGAUUACACACGGAUUCUGAAAGAGCAGGCUCGCUCUUCCUCUGGGAUCCUGAGAUAAAUGAUGAUGCUCGCUGGAACCAUUUAUGAUCAUCUUCCUGAUUUUAUGGGGGAAAGUCUGCAGGAGAGAAUAAAGUUGACGCACAAAAUGCAGCAGAGGCAAGCUGAGACAAAAAGAUCAGUGAAAAGAGACAGAGGAGGAAGUUUGUUUUGUCAGAGCCCACAGUAUCCUCGCAUUUACUGCUGUCAGAGGGGCCAGUGGCAACUACUCUUUCAGAAAAGCAAAAUUUCCCGAGAAGAAAUCGUGAGGUUUCUCUUGCUAUGUGACCUUAAGGAGAUGACUUCACACCUCUCAGAUUCAGUUCCUGGACUGGUAAAAAUGCAG
rnacentral:lncRNA from 1 species